rnacentral:RNase_P_RNA from 1 species
GAAGCAAGCCAGACCGCCGCUGGGGCAAGCGCCGAAAGGUGGCCCUGGAGGAAGGUCCGGACUGCACAGGGCGGCGUAGCAGCUAACGGCUGUCCACCGUGAGGUGAGGAUCAGAGCAACAGAGACGAGUCUGGGCAGUCAGCCCCUCGGGUGUUCUGUGGGGCGGUCGGCGCAAGUCGGCCGGAAUGGGCGCAAGCCCGGAACCCCGCAGCCACCCUGGGCGGCAAAGCCGCCCAGGGUGAAACGGGCAAUCUCUACGCGCAGCAACACCGAAUAGGCACACGUUGAUCCGGUCCGGGGAGUGUGCGGGUAGGUGGCACCGAGCCGGGUAGGCGACUCCCGGCCCAGAGGAAUGGCGGUCACGGUACCCCCGCCCCGCAAGGGGUUUGGGUGCUGCACAGAAUCCGGCCUAUCGGCUCGCUUCACAC